rnacentral:rRNA from 1 species
UUAAAUGGCCGCGGUAUAUUGACCGUGCUAAGGUAGCAUAAUCAUUAGUUUUUUAAUUGUAAGCUAGAAUGAAGGGUUGGAUGAAAAAAAAACUGUCUCUAAUUAAAUUAUCUAAAAUUUUAUUUUUAAGUAAAAAAGCUUAAAUUUAGUUAAAAGACGAGAAGACCCUAUAGAGUUUUAUAAAUUUAUAGAUUUUUUAUUUAGAAUUUAAAUUUAAUUUUUAAUAAAUUUAUUUAAUUGGGGUGAUUGAAAAAUUUAAUAAACUUUUUAUAUAUUUUUAUAUUAAUGUAUAAUUAUUUGAUCCAAGUAUUAUGAUUAAAAGAUAAAAUUACCUUAGGGAUAACAGCGUAAUUUUAUUAGAGAGUU